rnacentral:tRNA from 1 species
CCGACCUUAGCUCAGUUGGUAGAGCGGAGGACUGUAGUGGGCUUUGCCUGGCAGGUUAAUCCUUAGGUCGCUGGUUCGAAUCCGGCAGGUCGGA